rnacentral:rRNA from 1 species
AACGAACGCUGGCGGCAUGCCUAACACAUGCAAGUCGAACGAGACCUUCGGGUCUUGUGGCGCACGGGUGCGUAACGCGUGGGAACCUGCCCUUAGGUUCGGAAUAACUCCCCGAAAGGGGUGCUAAUACCGGAUAAUGUCUUCGGACCAAAGAUUUAUCGCCUUUGGAUGGGCCCGCGUUGGAUUAGCUAGUUGGUAGGGUAAAAGCCUACCAAGGCGACGAUCCAUAGCUGGUCUGAGAGGAUGAUCAGCCACACUGGGACUGAGACACGGCCCAGACUCCUACGGGAGGCAGCAGUGGGGAAUAUUGGACAAGGGGCGAAAGUCUGAUCCAGCAAUGCCGCGUGAGUGAUGAAGGCGUUAGGGUUGUAAAGCUGUUUUACCCGGGAUGAUAAUGACAGUACCGGGAGAAUAAGCUCCGGCUAACUCCGUG